GCCAAUAGCUCAGUCGGUAAGGCAUGAGACACUUAAUCUCAGGGGCGUGGGUUCAAGACGAAUGUUGGGCA